rnacentral:tRNA from 1 species
GGCCUGAUGGUCUAGCGGUAUGAUUCUUGCUUCGGGAUUGACAUCUCGGUUCUUCACAAGGAGAACUAAAGUUUGCGAGAGGUCCCGGGUUCAAUCCCCGGUCAGGCCC